rnacentral:pre_miRNA from 1 species
AGCCUCCUGAAUCCGUGCAGAGAUUUCGUCAGACACCAACCUAUUAGGGCUGAUGAGACUUCCAAGAUAUGUGAAGUU